rnacentral:rRNA from 1 species
UACGAAGGGGGCGAGCGUUGUUCGGAUUUACUGGGCAUAAAGGGCGCGCAGGCGGCUCAUUUUGUCAGGCGUGAAAGCCCCGGGCUUAACCUGGGAACUGCGUUUGAUACGGAUGGGCUAGAGUUCGGGAGAGGAGAGUGGAAUUCCCAGUGUAGAGGUGAAAUUCGUAGAUAUUGGGAAGAACACCGGUGGCGAAGGCGGGUCUCUGGGCAGUAACUGACGCUGAGGAGCGAAAGCGUGGGGAGCGAACAGG